rnacentral:rRNA from 1 species
GACGAACGCUGGCGGCGUGCUUAACACAUGCAAGUCGAACGAAGUGGCGAACGGGUGAGUAACGCGUAAUCAACCUGCCCUUCAGAGGGGGACAACAGUUGGCAACGACUGCUAAUACCGCAUACUGAAGGAGGGGAUUGCGUCUGAUUAGCUAGUUGGAGGGGUAACGGCCCACCAAGGCGAUGAUCAGUAACCGGGCUUGGGGGGUGGACAGCCACAUUGGGACUUGAGAACGGGCCAGACUCCUAAGGGAGGCAGGAGGUGGGAAUCUUCCGCAAUGGACGAAAGUCUGACUGAGCAAAGCCGCGUGGGUGAUGACGGGCUUCGGGUUGUAAAGCUCUGUUAAGCGGGAAGCGGUACCGGAAUAGAAAGCCACGGCUAACUACGUGCCAGCAGCCGCGGUAAUAC